ensembl:lncRNA
AAUGAUUCUGAUGCUCAUAUUCUCUGAUCCGCCAUGCCUAUUUAGAUCAAAAGGUGCAGGCUAUUUGUUGGUACCUUGAAUUGUGAAGGCUACAGCAGGGGGAAGAGCUUUCUCUUAGUAUUCGGGAUUCAGACACAGUCUCAGUGUUUAAGUCUAGACUGAAAAUGUGUUUGUUUGCUCAAGCUUACCAUGAGUAGACUUUCUUUUAUGCAAAGUACACAGUCUUAUCCAUCAUGGGAUAGUAAGUAUAUCUAAAUAACAAUCUCUCCCUCACUUUACCUCCCUCUCCCUCUCCUUCUGUCGAGCUACACAUAAUUUUAUGGAGAUGCCAGUGAUCCUGACCCUUUCUGGACUCCAGACCUGCCUGAUCCAUCCAGAUGCCCUACCUUGAAGUACCAUGAAAUAGUUUUAGACCUCAAUUCCACUUGGGCAUUCUCGCUGUGGUGGCUGGACUAUGGUUUCUACUAAGACCUUGGGACUGCAAUUACCAAAACAGUUUAUAGUUGUAGUUAAUGUUAUGCAACAUUGACAAGACAGUGGGGCAGUGGUGGAGCAGUGGUGGCUUGGCGGUUGAGGCUCUGGGUUACUGAUCGGAAGGCCGGGGGUUCAAGCCCCAGCAUGCCAGGCUCUGGGUUACUGGUCAGAAGGUCGGGGGCUCAAGCCCUGGCACUGCCAAGCUGUCACUGUUGGGCCCUUGAACAAGGCCCUUAACCCUCUCUGCUCCAGUGCUCCAAUCCUCUCUGUCCCUGUGCUCUGACCCCAGCUUCCUAACAUGCUGGGGUUAGUGCUUUCAGACAUCACUUUGAACUACCUGCUGCUGUUUGUUCCAAUGUCUGGGUGCCUGAAUAAAAUUGACAGAAAUGUCACUUUCGUGGGGAUUAAGGGGCGAUACCAAGAAGAAUUCAAUUUGACUCCAUAUCCCAGAAUGCACAGCAAACUACAAACAUGGCCGACGACUACAACUCCCAAAGCUACACAGAGGCAAGGCACCUUUUCCUGAGGACUAAUUAGACACACCUGUUCCCAAUUACAUGCAAAAUCACACCACACAUAAAAGAGACUACUCAUUCACUAGCUCUUCAUGAAGUAUUAUGCUUAGUUGCCAUUUGUGUCUGUCAUUUACCAAGCCUUGAUUUUAUGUCGUUAUUCUGGUUUUGACUUUGUUUAUGCUAUUGACCUUGAUUCUCUGCCUUGCCAGUUUUGUACUGUUUGCCUGAUU